rnacentral:rRNA from 1 species
AGUGAACGCUGGCGGUGGGCCUAACACAUGCAAGUCGAACGGCAGCACAGUAAGAGCUUGCUCUUACGGGUGGCGAGUGGCGGACGGGUGAGGAAUACAUCGGAAUCUACUUUUUCGUGGGGGAUAACGUAGGGAAACUUACGCUACUACCGCAUACGACCUACGGGUGAAAGCAGGGGAUCUUCGGACCUUGCGCGAUUGAAUGAGCCGAUGUCGGAUUAGCUAGUUGGCGGGGUAAAGGCCCACCAAGGCGACGAUCCGUAGCUGGUCUGAGAGGAUGAUCAGCCACACUGGAACUGAGACACGGUCCAGACUCCUACGGGAGGCAGCAGUGGGGAAUAUUGGACAAUGGGCGCAAGCCUGAUCCAGCCAUACCGCGUGGGUGAAGAAGGCCUUCGGGUUGUAAAGCCCUUUUGUUGGGAAAGAAAAGCAGCAGGUUAAUACCCCGCUGUUCUGACGGUACCCAAAGAAUAAGCACCGGCUAACUUCGUG